AUUGAACGCUGGCGGCAUGCCUUACACAUGCAAGUCGAACGGCAGCACGGGGCAACCUGGUGGCGAGUGGCGAACGGGUGAGUAAUGCAUCGGAACGUACCUUUCAGUGGGGGAUAACGUAGCGAAAGUUACGCUAAUACCGCAUAUUCUGUGAGCAGGAAGGCAGGGGAUCGCAAGACCUUGCGCUGAUUGAGCGGCCGAUGUCAGAUUAGCUAGUUGGUGAGGUAAAGGCUCACCAAGGCGACGAUCUGUAGCGGGUCUGAGAGGAUGAUCCGCCACACCGGAACUGAGACACGGUCCAGACUCCUACGGGAGGCAGCAGUGGGGAAUUUUGGACAAUGGGGGCAACCCUGAUCCAGCCAUGCCGCGUGAGUGAAGAAGGCCUUCGGGUUGUAAAGCUCUUUCGGCCGGGAAGAAAUCGCACGGGCUAAUACCCUGUGUGGAUGACGGUACCGGAAUAAGAAGCACCGGCUAACUACGUGCCAGCCGCCGCCGUAAGAC
rnacentral:rRNA from 1 species